rfam:Nematostella vectensis strain CH2 x CH6 NEMVEscaffold_94_Cont12050, whole genome shotgun sequence.
GCACGGGUGGCCUAGUGUGUUAGGGCGUCGUCCUCUCACCGCUAUGGCCCAGGUUCGAAUCCUGGCCCAAUCU